GGAUGAUUUAGAAGGUUAGCCA
rnacentral:siRNA from 1 species